rnacentral:lncRNA from 10 species
CUGGAAGCCGGGAGGCGGAGGUCAUGGAAGAAAAGGUGACAGCAACAACAGGAAAUGAUUCAUAGGAAAGGAAGACCAGGACAUGCUAAGCCAUGGAGACCAACAGUUUUAAAUAAAGCAACAUGCUGUGGCCUAGAAGCGGAAGCCAAGAAAACAUCUCUAAUCAUACCCAUCAUUAGAGACAACAGAAGUGCCUGCUUAGUAUAGAAAAUCAAAAUGAAUAAAGAAAGCAAGAGGAUAUUAUCAAAGUGGCUGGUCACAGAGGUCUAGCUGGGCAGCACCAAAGGCCAUAAGGUACUGACAGAUUCAAUGAAAUGGGAAGGUCAAGAACCAGAGAACUUGAGGACAAAAAGCUGAUCCUGUGGGUUUAAGAUAGUGAAAUAGGUGACUGGUAAGGAGGCUAAAGUGAUGGGGAGCAGCUGAAGAAAAAGCGGUGUCCUAGAUGAGAUCCAGGUUGUAGUGAUUCUGAUGUGCAACUGGUUUGAAAAUACAAAGGAAAGUCGACCGUCUCAUGCUGAGGAACUAUGAAAUCAGAAUAUUCCAAUGGUGCUGGAGACACUGAAAAUGAUAGCAAGAAAAAAAGGAGAGAAAAAAAUAUGAUGCAAUAGGUCUGGGUCCCUGUGGGCAGUAAAUGAUGACACUAAAGUUUUACAGAAACUGCUAUAAUUGCAUGGCAAUACCUUCCAUGAGGAUUAGAGUGACAGUGGUAGAUCAAUGAUCUGGACAUAGUAAAGGAAAACAAAAAAGCAGUUUAUUCCUUUUUCUCUUCCACAUAGUCACGGAAAACAGAAAACAGCUUUUAGUGACAAGGUAAGGUAAGAUGUG